rnacentral:misc_RNA from 1 species
AUUAAAUUGCAUACAUUUUCUUAUAUUCAUUGUUUAAGAUAUCUGUAUCUGACAUCAUUGACAUUGAAAGUGAACGAGACCUGCUUCCGAAUGAUGAUCUUCGUAUGCUCCUCAUAUUUGAGGCUUCAAUCCGAUGCUUUAUUACCCAGUAACACAUUGUUCCCAGAGUUGUAACCAUUAUACUUGCUCCUACGAUUGUAACACUAAUUGCCAACCAUUUCUCAUGUUUUCCCACCACAAUAAAUGACAGAGCCAAGAAUGCUACUGAUAUAAGUGCACAAGCUAUCCACAUCAACUUGUUAAUAAUCGCCAUCAUCUGCUUCUUUGCCUUG